UGGGGAAUUUUGGACAAUGGGGGCAACCCUGAUCCAGCAAUGCCGCGUGAGUGACGAAGGCCUUAGGGUUGUAAAACUCUUUCGUCGGGGACGAUAAUGACGGUACCCGAAGAAGAAGCUCCGGCUAACUUCGUGCCAGCAGCCGCGGUAAUACGAAGGGAGCUAGCGUUGUUCGGAAUCACUGGGCGUAAAGCGCACGUAGGCGGAUAGUUAAGUCAGGGGUGAAAUCCUGGGGCUCAACCCCAGAACUGCCUUUGAUACUGGCUGUCUCGAGGUCGAGAGAGGUUGGUGGAAUUCCUAGUGUAGAGGUGAAAUUCGUAGAUAUUAGGAAGAACACCAGUGGCGAAGGCGGCCAACUGGCUCGAUACUGACGCUGAGGUGCGAAAGCGUGGGGAGCAAACAGGAUUAGAUACCCCGGUAGUCCCUGAGCGGGCUGGCAAGGCGCAU
rnacentral:rRNA from 1 species